UGAUCGUACCCUAUUUACACCAAUAUCCACUAUGUUAGUCCUCCAGUCAUUGCUAACCUGGCUGGUGAAAACUGAAGCAAAACAGAUGAGAACACCCUCUGUAUUUACAUGUCUCUUGGAAACUCACCUCUUCUGCAAUACACGCAACAGCCUCUGGACCAGAUGACUGGAGAAUAUGUUGGGGAAGAGUCAACACACUUUUGUAAAAGGAAAUCAUGCCUCACAAAUCUGUUAGAAUUCUUUGAGUGUCAACAAGCAUGUGGACAAGGGUGAGCCAGUGGAUAUAGCGUACUUUGACUUUCAGAACAUCUUCUACAAGGUCUCACACCAAAGGCCCUAAAGCAAAACCUCAACAACUCAUUUGUUUGAUGACCGGGCUAUGUGCGUCCGAAGAUGACUGAUCAGUCUGAUUUGGGCGUGGAACGUCCUGUCACACGUUGGGCAGACAUGUGAUGGCACUGUCGAUGAUGUGCGGGCAGCUCUGGACUUGCGCAACUCACACUUUCUUUCAGCCUCAGAGGUAUUACUGCCUGUGUGAA